rnacentral:rRNA from 1 species
CGAAAUGCGAUACGUAAUGUGAAUUGCAGAUUCCGUGAAUCAUCGAAUUUUUGAACACAAAUUGUA